AUGUGCUCCUUGGGAUAUCAACAGAGCAAUGCUGAUCACACUCUCUUCUUUAAACAUCAUCAUGAUAAGAUUACUAUACUGACUGUAUAUGUUGAUGAUAUAGUAAUCACAGGGGAUGAUGUUGAGGAGAUAUCAUACUUGAAGAAGAUGAUGGCUAAAAUAUUUGAAGUUAAAGACUUGGGCUAUCUUCAUUAUUUUCUGGGGAUUGAAGUUGUUUAUGGGGCACAAGGUAUUUACCUCUCUCAAAGGAAGUAUGUACUUGAUCUUCUUAAUGAAACAGGUAUGUUAGGAUGCAAACCAGCGGCCACACCUAUUGAGCCCGUAGACAAAUACCAAUAUCAGAGGUUAGUUGGCCGUUUAAUCUAUUUAUCGCACUCAAGGCCAGAUAUUGCAUAUGCAGUUAGUGUUGUAAGCCGUUAUAUGCAUGAUCCUCGUUCAGGCCAUCUAGAAGUGGUAAAUCGAAUUUUGAGAUAUCUAAAAGGCUGUCCAGGGAAGGGAAUCUUAUUUUCUAAUCAUGGACAUUUGAAGGUAGAGGGAUAUGCUGAUGCAGAUUGGGUUGGAUGUCUAGAUGAUAGACGAUCUACAUCAGGUUAUUGUGUGUUUGUUGGGGAUAAUCUAGUUUGUUGGAGAAGUAAAAAGCAAAAUGUGGUGGCACGAUCUACUGCUGAGGCAAAAUUCAGGUCUAUGGCUUCUGGUUUAUGUGAACUGAUGUGGUUGAGGAUAUUACUAUCUGAGCUCGGUCUAUUUGAUGGAGGACCACUACAACUCUAUUGUGAUAACCAAGCUACAAUCAAUAUAGUGCACAAUCCAGUUCAGCAUGAUAGAACUAAGCAUGUUGAAAUUGAUAGACAUUUCAUUAGAGAGAAGUUAGAUGAGGGGAGCCUUCGUGUUACUUUUGUUAGAUCUGAUAGUCAAUUGGCAGAUGUACUUACAAAAGGUGUUAGUGUUGUGUCUUUUGAGAAAGUAUGUAGCAAGAUGGGGCUAAUAGACUUAUUUGCCCCAUCUUGA
rnacentral:rRNA from 1 species